rnacentral:rRNA from 1 species
UCAGGAUGAACGCUAGCGGCAGGCUUAACACAUGCAAGUCGAGGGGCAGCGCGAGUAGCAAUACUUGGCGGCGACCGGCGCAAGGGUGCGUAACGCGUGAGCAACAUGCCCGUAUCAGGGGGAUAAUCCAGGGAAACUUGGUCUAAUACCCAUAGUAAUUUUGUAAGGCAUCUUAUAAGAUUUAAAGCUUUGGUGGAUACGGAUUGGCUCGCGUGACAUUAGCUGGAUGGUAAGGUAACGGCUUACCAUGGCUAUGAUGUCUAGGGGUUCUGAGAGGAAGGUCCCCCCACACUGGAACUGAGACGCGGUCCAGACUCCUACGGGAGGCAGCAGUGAGGAAUAUUGGACAAUGGAUGGAAAUCUGAUCCAGCCAUGCCGCGUGAAGGAAGAAAGGUCCUAUGGAUUGUAAACUUCUUUUGUAUGGGAGCAAUAAGGCCUACGAGUAGGUUGAUGAGAGUACCAUACGAAUAAGCACCGGCUAACUCCGUGCCAGCAGCAGC